AGCGAACGUUAGCGGCGGGCCUAACACAUGCAAGUCGAGCGAGAAAGGGGCUUCGGCCCCGAGUACAGCGGCGGACGGGUGAGGAACACGUAGGUAAUCUGCCCUUCGAUGGAGGACAACGGUCCGAAAGGACCGCUAAUACUGCAUACGUUCCUCGGGUCCUCGGGCCUGAGGAGGAAAGCCUCGCAAGGGGCGUCGGAGGAGGAGCCUGCGUCGCAUCAGCUAGUUGGUGGGGUAAUGGCCUACCAAGGCGAAGACGCGUAGCUGGUCUGAGAGGAUGAUCAGCCACACUGGGACUGAGACACGGCCCAGACUCCUACGGGAGGCAGCAGUGGGGAAUAUUGGACAAUGGGCGAAAGCCUGAUCCAGCCACGCCGCGUGAGUGAUGAAGGCCUUCGGGUCGUAAAGCUCUGUGGGGAGGGACGAAUUGCCGGGUGAAGAAUCCGGAGUGACGGUACCUCCUUAGCAAGCACCGGCUAACUUCGUGCCAGCCGCCGCCGUAACAC
rnacentral:rRNA from 1 species